UCGGGAUAGCUCAGCUGGUAGAGCAGAGACUGAAAUUCC
rnacentral:tRNA from 1 species